rnacentral:rRNA from 1 species
GUCAAAUCAUCAUGCCCCUUAUGACCUGGGCUACACACGUACUACAAUGGCCAGUACAACGGGAAGCGAAGCCGCGAGGUGGAGCCAAUCCUAUCAAAGCUGGUCUCAGUUCGGAUUGCAGGCUGCAACUCGCCUGCAUGAAGUCGGAAUUGCUAGUAAUCGCGGAUCAGCAUGCCGCGGUGAAUACGUUCCCGGGUCUU